rnacentral:rRNA from 1 species
AGGACGAACGCUGGCGGCGUGCUUAACACAUGCAAGUCGAGCGGAAAGGCCCUUCGGGGUACUCGAGCGGCGAACGGGUGAGUAACACGUGAGUAACCUGUCCUUAGCUUUGGGAUAACCCUCGGAAACGGGGGCUAAUACCGGAUAUGACAUGCCUCUGCAUGGUGGUGUGUGGAAAGUUUUUCGGCUAGGGGUGGGCUCGCGGCCUAUCAGCUUGUGGUGGGGUAAUGGCCUACCAAGGCGACGACGGGUAG